GACAGCGGGGGCAAGCGUUGCUCGGAAUCACUGGGCGUAAAGGGCGCGCAGGUGGUUCUGUAUGUCUACCGUGAAAGCGUACGGCUCAACCGUAUUUUGUCGGUAGAAACUGCAGGACUUGAGGCUGGGAGGGGCUGGUGGAAUUCCCUGUGUAGCGGUGAAAUGCGUAGAGAUGGGGGAGAACACUCGUGGCGAAGGCGGCCAGCUAGACCAGUUCUGACACUGAGGCGCGACAGCGUGGGGAGCAAACAGG
rnacentral:rRNA from 1 species